rnacentral:lncRNA from 1 species
UUUUCUUGCGCCCUUGUUUUUUUGGGGCCAGGGAGAAUGGGUAACGCUACCUUUAAGCAGCUUUGAUAACUGUUUUUGAUAAAGGAAGUAAAUCUUACAAGAGGAAGAAAAGAGGACUAAUUUUUGGUUGGCUGUUCCUAAAAAAGAGCAUCAGUUCUUCAACUGCUGUUUUUCGUAUUGAACAACAUCCAAGUGCAGAUGUGUGGAAUAUUGUGUCAUUUCCUAUUACUUUAUCUGAAUGAGCCUUGCCUGAUUCUGCCCUUGACCCUGUUAAGGCACGGCAGAUGGUCUUCAUCCCUUCGCUCCUUUCGUCUUUAUCGUAAAGCACUGGCAGAAAGGUAGCAGGCCCGGUGACUCUGAACCUGCUUCCCACACUGGUUUAAGUGGCCGGACUUAGGGCCCCUCUGGCCUGGGCAGUUCCAGGCUCCUUCUCUGCAGGUGCUCAGCUUAUGGCUUCUAACCUGGUCUGGCCUAAUGAGGGUGGGCAUGCAGGCUGGAUGAAAAGACCUCACAGCUUUUUUCUCCAUUCCAGGUGCCUUCUCCAAGAGAGGCAGCAGGGAGGGAGAAAUGGCAAGGAGGUUGCUGCCAGCCCAUGUACAGGAGUCCGUGACGUUCAGGGAUGUGGCCGUGUUCUUCAGCCAGGACGAGUGGUUGCACCUGGACUCUGCCCAGAGAGCCUUGUACCGGGAG